rnacentral:rRNA from 1 species
CCUACGGGGGGCAGCAGUGGGGAAUAUUGCACAAUGGGGGAAACCCUGAUGCAGCGACGCCGCGUGAGCGAAGAAGUAUUUCGGUAUGUAAAGCUCUAUCAGCAGGGAAGAAAAUGACGGUACCUGACUAAGAAGCCCCGGCUAACUACGUGCCAGCAGCCGCGGUAAUACGUAGGGGGCAAGCGUUAUCCGGAUUUACUGGGUGUAAAGGGAGCGCAGGCGGCGCGGUAAGUCUGAUGUGAAAGCCCGGGGCUCAACCCCGGGAGUGCAUUGGAAACUGUCGGACUGGAGUGAAGGAGGGGCAAGUGGAAUUCCUGGUGUAGCGGUGAAAUGCGUAGAUAUUAGGAGGAACACCAGUGGCGAAGGCGGCUUGCUGGACGGCAACUGACGCUGAGGCUCGAAAGCGUGGGGAGCAAACAGGAUUAGAUACCCCGGUAGUC